CUUAACAUGACGUUCGAAAACGUUAGUGUCCAAUUACAGGUUAGCGUCGUUAAAUCAACGUUAUAUCCAAUAACGGGUUGAAUGACAACUGCUGACACUCACCUGCGAAUCUGACCAGCCACCAAUUGUGUGAUAAACCCAGCUGCAAACAUUGGGUGGUGGCAUGAUGACUGAAGUUUGGAUCAGGCAGGGAGAGGGACAUUCCAGGGUCCUGUCAGUCCGGAGUCUACCCUCCAUAUGCUGCCCUUUUAUUUCCCUUCCCAUCUUUCUUUCUGCUCUUCCCUCUCCACCUCCCACUGCUCAUGUAAGUCAGUACCUGCUUCA